rnacentral:rRNA from 1 species
UGGGGAAUAUUGGACAAUGGGCGCAAGCCUGAUCCAGCCAUGCCGCGUGAGUGAUGAAGGCCCUAGGGUUGUAAAGCUCUUUCACCGGUGAAGAUAAUGACGGUAACCGGAGAAGAAGCCCCGGCUAACUUCGUGCCAGCAGCCGCGGUAAUACGAAGGGGGCUAGCGUUGUUCGGAUUUACUGGGCGUAAAGCGCACGUAGGCGGAUUAUUAAGUCAGGGGUGAAAUCCCGGGGCUCAACCCCGGAACUGCCUUUGAUACUGGUAGUCUUGAGUUCGAGAGAGGGGAGUGGAAUUCCGAGUGUAGAGGGGAAAUUCGUAGAUAUUCGGAGGAACACCAGUGGCGAAGGCGGCUCACUGGCUCGAUACUGACGCUGAGGUGCGAAAGCGUGGGGAGCAAACAGG